rnacentral:rRNA from 1 species
AGUGGCGAACGGGUGAGUAAUGUAUCGGAACGUGCCUAGUAGCGGGGGAUAACUACGCGAAAGCGUAGCUAAUACCGCAUACGCCCUACGGGGGAAAGCAGGGGAUCGCAAGACCUUGCACUAUUAGAGCGGCCGAUAUCGGAUUAGCUAGUUGGUGGGGUAACGGCUCACCAAGGCGACGAUCCGUAGCUGGUUUGAGAGGACGACCAGCCACACUGGGACUGAGACACGGCCCAGACUCCUACGGGAGGCAGCAGUGGGGAAUUUUGGACAAUGGGGGAAACCCUGAUCCAGCCAUCCCGCGUGUGCGAUGAAGGCCUUCGGGUUGUAAAGCACUUUUGGCAGGAAAGAAACGUCAUGGGUUAAUACCCCGUGAAACUGACGGUACCUGCAGAAUAAGCACCGGCUAACUAC